ensembl:lncRNA
UGGAUUGCAGCGGUCAGAUGAGCGGAUAUCGAGUUCUCUGCCAUCCCCAAUUUUUUGUCGGUUUGCUCGCAGCAUUUUCUUUCCGAUCUUUCUGAAGCCUUCCCCCGUGUGUUCUGGAUUGUCGCGAGUUUUUCGGAGUGGACAUUGUGUGGAUUGUUCAUUGUGGGACCUGUGUGGAGCGGGCAUGGAGUGUCUUGUCUUCUUCCCCUGCCCGCAGAGGGCAGGAGAAGAAGGGAGCUCAUUAUGGGCCCCUGCCCUUGACCUACCUACACACCUGUGAUUACAGUUCACCUGGUGUUUUUGUGUCUAAUAGACUUUGUACACAGAUUUCCUGAGUCCGCGUGUGAACCCAUUCUGUCAGCCCCACAAGCUGUAUAAUGUUAUAAUAUUUAUUAAAG